AAAAUUUCCAUUCAUCUCAAACAAUCAACAUUUUUACAUGCAAAUGUCAUCAAAAGGACUUUUCCAAGGCUUGUAAUGAGGUUGGGCUAACAAGAAAAAAUGGUUUUUCCGGAAUGCAAAGUCCUUGAGUUAAGAGAGCUAUCAUAAUAUUUAACAAUUUAAGCACAACUCUCUUCCUCACCAAUCUCACUUAUUCCUAACUUCUUCCCUUUUCUUUUCUUUUUACAUUGAGCUCAUCUUCAUGCUUCUCUUCUUUUCUUUUCUUUUUCUCAUGCAUUUUUCUUUUUUUUUCAACAUUUGAGCUCAAUGCUUUUCAAUCGCCUUUCAAUUUCCCCCACACAACCUCAAACUUGAACCUUUUCAUCGCAUACAAUUAAGCUCAUCCCAACUCAAGGUAAAAAAUUUCAAGACAAGGGUUCACAUCCUGUUUAAGGCUAAGGUUCAAAAAUGGUAUAAUGUUUUCAAGCACAUUGGGUGAAAUUUGGCUAGAGAAGGGUUCUCAAAAAUGGCCUUGAUCAUAUGACAUUCACAUGCAAUUCAAUCAAUCACCAAGAUUAAGGCAAUAUCAUUCAUGUUUUCCUGUGAACAAGCAUACAACAAUAAAAACUCUGGAGCCCAAUACCUCACACAACAUGCUUUCUCACACAAAAUUUAUUCAUACACCCUGC
rnacentral:lncRNA from 1 species